AUCUUUUCCACUGUAAUGUUUUGGCUUGAAUUUCUAAGUCUUUCAAAUUAAUUUUUUGGUCUCUAAAUGGUUGGGCUUUGUUUAGAAACACUUCAGCUCUUCUGUUAUGCUGGCUUCCUUUGGUAGAGGAACUGUCAAAUCGGGCUUUGUUGUGGGAAGAGAGGAGCAGCAGGAAGGAGCAGAGCAGAGGGAGAAGCCAGUGCAAGUUUUCCUGGAGGCUUUUUGUCUUACUGGUAUUGAAGAUAUUUGGCCAAAAGCUUACUGGGACAGAGAAGAAGAGGACUAGACACCCUUGUAAAAGAGGCUUGGGAUAAUUACAUGUGACACAGGGAUAAAGCAGAGCUGAGGCAGUUCGGGAUGAUGUGAUGAUGAGGAGAAUGCAAUUUUGGUUCCAAAAAACCUGUAUCUGCAGUGAAGCAGACAGACAGGCUGCAACUCUGGGAAGCACAUGAAGCAUACAUUUUAACUGGUGGGGAUGCCGCUGCAAAAAUUUGGGGUGAGACCCCAGCACCUUUGAAGGUGCUCCUUCAAAGACAGGCGCAUCCAAAAGACCCAGGGCACUUCAGGUCCAGGAUCUGGCCAGGAUUUUCUGAGCAAAGUCCUGCCUGAGUUUAUGGUGGCACAUGCAAAGGAUGUGCCAUGCUUUGGUGUCCCAGCAGGAGAUGGCAGCGUGUCCCUCUCCCACCACCUUCCCCUUGGCUUCUGGGUUUAGAGCAGCUUCAUUCACUUCCUGCUGCAAAGAACGCUCGGCCCACGCCUUCCAAAGGGAAAAGAGUGGGAAAUGUCAACAGCUUCACCUCUCUGGGUUUCUUAAUGAAUUAUAGAUGGAGCCCAGGCAAGAGACUGAAUUGUUCUGACAACUGAGCAACUUUGAACGCGAGAAGCCAAACGCGACAGGACAGGAGAGAUUCACGGAGGCUGAGGGACUGCGGCUCCCCGUCCGUGGCUGUCAGGCUGUGCUCGGCUAACAGAGGCACUGCCCAGGUGCUUCAUGGGCUCACCCCCGAGCUCUGUCACAGGACUCCCUUGGGAACUGCUCAGGCUCCUACUGCUCUCUUUGCCCUGCCAACCCUCCGGCUCCCAGCGCUCUCAGUCAUCCGCUGUUAAACUGCAAAACAGAUCGGGGAGAUGAGAUGGUUUGGAAGAUCCCCUCCACCCCACAGCAGGCCUGGCAAGGAGCAGGGAGAGUGGGAAAGAGGGUUGGAAUUUUUAUGUGAGAUUUUUAUUACUCUGGUAGCAAUCCCCCAGAGAGCUGUAUUAAGCCAGAAAAUGGGGAAGUGCAAGAUAUGUGGACCCACAAACUGAGACAGGAGUUGAGAAGUAUGAAGCAAUGUCUUGUCGACAUCCAGCUGCAAAUGCUGUCAUUCAACCACAAAACCAGACCAGGAACCUGGGCUGCAACAAACAGGCAACAGCAGAAAUUGUCCUGCACGUGUGACUAACACCUCUCAAUGUAAGAGCCUUUCAUCUUCUGUUCCACCAAAUCCUGAAAAUACACUUUCGCUGUGAAGAAAGCAUCCUACAGGAGACCAGAGGACUUACCUUACUCCUGCUCCAGAAAAUUCCCUCACCAGUUCAGGCACCAGCAGGCAGAGUAUGUCUCCAAGGGCCCAAAGACUGAGCACACCCCUUGUAUGUGACACCCUCAAGGCCACCCUAAAGAAAACAUCUGAAGGCAGGCAAUCCACAACUCCUGUACCCACAACAGCUACACCAAACUACACACCUCAUUUAGAGAAGGAGGAGAACAUGGCAAUGCACUUUGCUCAGUCCAUAACCAUUUCCAUGUCAGGAGUGUUCUCUGCAUGCAAAUACCAUGGUGCUGGCAGGAAAAUGCCAUUUGUGCUCCUGAAACAGCCCUUAAGUGUAGCACUAUGCUGCCCUGUGUUAAAAUGAAAUCAAAGCACCCUUCCUUCACUCAAACAACCUUCCUCUAAACCUCUUGAUUUUAAAAGGUCAGAAUGUGUUUUCUGACCUUUUUCACUAUGGCCUAACCAGGCUUUAACUGCAGAGUAGCUGGAGGCAGCUCCUGAACGUCUCCUUUCUGUAACUUGCCACAGUUGGUGGAUUCCUGAGAGCAUAACUCAGUAAGACAUUACACACAUGCUUAAUGACAUCAACAGGGCUGCAUUUCUUCUUGUGUGGGCAAAAUACUUGGGUCAAACUCUUCAUAGGUAUCUCCUACUGCAAGUCCUGCUUUGGAGCCUGUCUGCAGAAGCUGGUGGGAGUUGUGCUUCAAUGAACAUUAAGGUUGGGUCCAUUGCAAUAAAUGAAGCAUGUUGGAGAUAAUUGUCUUGUACAGCCCAAGCCCACAGUCUCAUGCUCUCAUUCAUCCACAGAACGGGGGUUGUAUUUUCUCCCAGGAGUGGUCCCUGACCAGAGCUAACUCCUGAGUGGUUUAUGGGAUUGGUUUUGGGAAAGAGCCUUUUGACUGCAGCCAAAAUAUUGCUUCAGGCUGUUCUAACUUGGUAAAAACCACAUAUUUUGUGUUUCAGGCUGAGCAUCUGGUAACAGUGGGUCCUUUGGACCUUAAUCCCCCCGUACUAGAGAUUCUUCUCUUCUCUCAGUACUUCUCCAUACAGGACAUGUCCAGCUCUCUACCCACUUCAGCUCCUCUUUCUCUCUCAGUUCCCAGUCCUGUUUGCUGCCUGAGGCAACCACCUCUACUACAGGUGACAAAGACUAAUUAAGAUAUCAAAAUAGGAAUAAGCGUGCAUGAGAGCCUAAUAAAAUAAAUACAAAGAUGUCAAAAUUUUAUCAAAAGAGACAUUUCAGAUAAAUAGAUGAUACUAUGGAACAGCCUGAACACACAAAUGUGCUCCUUGCUUUACAUUGGUAUUAAGUGAAUAAGAGCAAUUGCAAUUAAAUGCUUCUGGAGACAGUAGGUGACAGGAUUGCUGCUUGGACUGAGGUGCUGCCUGCAGAACAUUUCCUAACACCACAGUGUUACUGGAGUCAAGAUUGUGAAGUUUCUUCACAGGCACCUAAAAAACAUUGUAAAACGUAUUUGUAAUUGGUCAAAUUGCUGUUUCUGCAUCUGCAAUGGCUUCUUUUGGCUUCUAGUGUUCUAAAUGGAGAUCCAGUACUGAACUACACAAACCUUAAGACCAAGAUCCCCUUUCUAAUGCAGUACCUAG